rnacentral:rRNA from 1 species
GAUGAACGCUGGCGGUAUGCUUAACACAUGCAAGUCGAACGGACUCUUCGGAGUUAGUGGCGGACGGGUGAGUAACGCGUGAGAAUCUGGCUUUGGGUUCGGGACAACCACUGGAAACGGUGGCUAAUACCGGAUGUGCCGAGAGGUAAAAGAGAAAUUGCCUGAAGAUGAGCUCGCGUCUGAUUAGCUAGUUGGUGAGGUAAAGGCUCACCAAGGCAGCGAUCAGUAGCUGGUCUGAGAGGAUGACCAGCCACACUGGGACUGAGACACGGCCCAGACUCCUACGGGAGGCAGCAGUGGGGAAUUUUCCGCAAAGGGCGAAAGCCUGACGGAGCAAUACCGCGUGAGGGAAGAAGGCUCUUGGGUUGUAAACCUCUUUUCUUAGGGAAGAACAAAAUGACGGUACCUAAGGAAUCAACAUCGGCUAACUCCGUG